CAGACCCGGAAGAGGGAGCACAAAACCCCGCCCACACCCGGAAAUGGGAGCAGAAAGCCCCGCCCACACCCGGAAGUGGGAGCAGAAAGUCCCGUCCACACCCGGAAGUAGGAGCAGAAAGUCCCGCUCAAACCCGGAAGUGGGAGCACAAAACCCCGCCCACACCCGGAAGUGGUGGGUCGGAGGCAUUUAGUGUGUGGGGCGGAGUGUGGGGCGGCCCCAACGGGCUCAGCUGUGGGGCGAUGGGGGGCUGGGGGGGCACUUGUGGGUCUCACUGUGGGGCAGAGGGGUCACUUGUGGGGCAGAGGAAGCACUUAUGGGUCUCACUAUGGGGCAGAGGGGUCACUUGUGGGGCCGGGGGGCAUUUGUGGGUCUCACUAUGGGGCAGAGGGGUCACUUGUGGGUCUCAUUAUAGAGCAGAGGGAGCACUUGUGGGGCUGGGGGGGCACUUGUGGGUCUCACUAUGGGGCAGAGGGGUCACUUGUGGGGCUGGGGGGGCACUUGUGGGGCUGGGGGGCACUUAUGGGGCUGAGGAGUCAGUUAUAGGUCUCCAUAUGGGGCUGAGGGGGCACUUGUGGGGCUGGGGGGCACUUGUGGGUCUCACUGUGGGGCAGAGGAAUCACUUGUGGGGCUGGGGGGUCACUUGUGGGGCUGGGGGGGCACUUGAGGGUCUCACUUUGGGGCUCAGGCCAAUCAGAGAGCGAGUUGCCUCAGAGAGAGGUGGGACGGGAGAUCGGCCCAAUCAGAGAGCGAGUUGCCACAGAUCAGGGUAGGAAGGACGGGAGCUCGGGCCAAUCAGAGAGCGAGUUGCCACAGUGCAGCAUAAGACGGACAGGAGCUCGGGCCAAUCAGAGCGCGAGUUGCCUCAGAGAGAGGUGGGACAGGAGGUCGGACUAAUCAGAGAGCGAGUUGCCUCAGAGAGAGGUGGGACAGGAGAUCGGUCCAAUCAGAGAGCGAGUUGCCACACAGCAGGAUAGGACGGACGGGAGCUCGGACCAAUCAGAGCGCGAGUUACCUCAGAGAGAGCUGGGACGGGACCUCGGCCCAAUCAGAGAGCGAGUUCCCACAGGGCAGGAGAGGACGGACGGGAGUUCGGACGAAUCAGAGAGAGAGAGGCCACAGGGAAGGAUAGGACGGACGGAAGCUCGGGCCAAUCAGAGAGCGAGUUACCUCAGAGAGAGGUGGGACGAGAGAUCGGCCCAAUCAGAGAGCGAGUUGCCACAGGGAAGGAUAGGACGGACGGAAGCUCGGGCCAAUCAGAGAGCGAGUUACCUCAGAGAGAGGUGGGACGAGAGAUCGGCCCAAUCAGAGAGCGAGUUCCCACAGGGCAGGAGAGGACGGACGGGAGUUCGGACCAAUCAGAGAGCGAGUUGCCACAGGGAAGGAUAGGACGGACGGAAGCUCGGGCCAAUCAGAGAGCGAGUUACCUCAGAGAGAGGUGGGACGGGACCUCGGCCCAAUCAGAGAUCGAGUUGCCACAGGGCAGGAGAGGACGGACGGGAGUUCGGACGAAUCAGAGAGAGAGAGGCCACAGGGAAGGAUAGGACGGACGGAAGCUCGGACCAAUCAGAGAGCGAGUUGCCACAGGGCAGGGUAGGAAGGACGGGAGCUCGGACCAGUCAGAGAGCGAGUUGCCUCAGAGAGAGGUGGGACGGGAAGUCGGCCCAAUCAGAGAGCGAGUUACCUCAGAGUGAGGUGGGACGAGAGAUCGGC
rnacentral:lncRNA from 1 species